ensembl:lncRNA novel transcript, antisense to MLPH
GACACCUGGGGCGCCCGCGCGGGAAGCGCCAGUGCGGGGGAGAGCCCCGGAUACUCGACCCCCAAGCCAGUUUGGGGAGAAAGACGGCGGCGGGGAGGGGAAAGUUGAGCACACAGCUGCGAUUCCCGUGAGUUGCGGCGACUUUGCAUAGGUGACAUCGCGCCGCGGUCCUGCCUUGGGCACGGUGGGACCCGCUUGCUGAGCGCGCUCUAGAGCGCGCGGCACAUCGUCGAAAUUUCUAACUCUGCAGGGAAAGCGCUAUGUACUUCGGCUUUACAAAUGGGGAAACUGAGGCUCAGAAACGCGCCCUACCAAAGCCACCGACCAGUAAGUGGCAACGCCAAAUAAUAAAUAGGACUUUAAGCCCAGGGCUUUCUGCUGCAGAGAGCGUACCCUCACCCCUUCGAUUCUGCCAGGCAUCAGGACCAGGAGGGUCCCGCAGCCGCGGGCAGCCCUGCUGCGGGGAGGAGACCGAGGCCUUGCCCGCCAAGAAAAAGUCAAGAUCCGCGGGCAAAUGGGGCAGAUGUGGAAGCCAGGACGCGCGGCGCGGUGGUUCCAGGACCGAGGACGCGCUGCGGGGAACGCCUGGGAGCUCCGCGCCGCUGCGCUCUUCUCCUGGACUCUAGGGCCGGCCUUUGGGUGCUCAGCGGGGCCCGCAAGCUCAGAGGGUCCCAAGGCGAGCCGCCGUCUCCAGUCCGCCCGGCCUGCCUGUCCUUCCGAAUUCCAAUGGACAUUAGGGAAUUGCCCUCCUCCCUCAUCCUCCAAGACUGGGCGCUUCAGAAUUUUCUCUCCCUCCCCCUCCCUCUCCCUUGUCACUUAAAAACUCACAUUCUGUUCUCCAGGAACCGCUUUUGCAAUUCAGUUUUCCUAUCUGCAAAAUGAUAGGAAUAAAGCCAUUAGGUGAAUGAAUAGAUACUAGUAUCUCCAUUUAACAGAAGAGGAAUCAAAACCUUAUAGGAUUGUUGUGAUAUCACAUUAGAUUAUUUGUAAACAGCUUUCAAAAGGCUGCAAAAGAACAAAAAAGAAUGUUGUUGCCUGCUGAGCCCAGGGGAACACUGUAGGUGAAUCAGGGUAUUUCAGGCCCCUGGGCUGCUUUGAGACAGGUGCUCUUACCAAACACCAUCAAUUGUUGAGUGUGAACCCUGGAAUAGAGUGAAGCUUACACUGAAGCCAGUAUUUCCACAUCCCAUAUGAUCUGGUGCUUAUGUUUUUCAUUUCCUUACCUCCUUGCCAUAUACUUUACUGUUACUUGUUAAGAUUAAUAAAUCCCUUAAGAGUUGAUGUAGGGACUUAAGUUCCUUAAGGGCAGAAGUUUUUAAAAAUGUUUUUAAUACUUUAGUGCUUAUUUAUUUGAAGUAGUGGUUUUAAAAAAUAUACAACUGACACACGCUGAUAUAUAAGGUAUAUAGUAAAGAAUAUAAGGAGUAUAAAAUGAAAAGCCAAA